AACCCAUGCUCAGGGCAUUUAUGCAGGAGAUCCUUGAACCUAUCCCAUAUCUUAAAAAGAGAUUCUAAUUCAGUUUACACAAAAGAGGGUAUUUCAUUCCUGAGCUU